rnacentral:rRNA from 1 species
UGUAAGCGUAUACCAAAGUUGUUGCAGUUAAAACGCUCGUAGUCGGAAUUUGGCAGUUCCGGAAGUGUGCACGUCGUGUGCGCACUUUGCGGGGACUGCUUUUGUGGUCUUGCGUAGGAUGAGGCACUUUCAUUAGUGAACGUCCUCACGCAACCACUCUUUACUGUGAGAAAAUCAGAGUGCUCAAAGCAGGCAUUUGCCGUGAAUGUAUUAGCAUGGAAUAAUAGAAUAGGACGCGGUUCUAUUUUGUUGGUUUGUUGGGACUGAGUAAUGAUUAAGAGGGACAGUUGGGGGCAUUUGUAUUCCGGCGCUAGAGGUGAAAUUCUUAGAUUGCCGGAAGACAAACUGCUGCGAAAGCGUCUGCCAAGGAUGUUUUCAUUGA